CUCAGUCUGGUGUCUCGGAUUUGUUCCUGUGUUGCCCACUCCUGCUGGAUCUUGUCCAGUCGAGGGACAAACGUCCUGAAGAAUGGGAAGAAAGGAGGUUCUGAAGGCACAGAUUCCAAUACAAUGCCAGAGGUUGAGGACACUGGUGCUUGAAGGGAAACUGGCACACUCUGGAGCCCCAAGAAGAGCUGGAGCUGGAGGCAUGCGGCCCACGAAGGGUAGAAGUACCAGCCAAGACCAAGAGCCCUUCACAUCAUCUGGCAAUCCAUCCAGAACCCACUGAAUGGAGGACAGUACAGCGAGGUCUUUCUCAUUUUGUAACUGCAAAAGCUGGAACAAGAGCCAGAGAAGCCAAAGAAGCAGUACAAGUCCAACAGCUUUUAGAAUAACCCUGAGAAAAUGGUUGAAUUUUGACCAGUUUUGCAAUUGGAUACUAUGAGAAGAGACCUUCCCUCCUGCACUGGAUUUCAUCCUACCUGGAGGCCAUUCCUCAUGGGACUUCGGCCAUCUCAUAUCCACCUUUAAGCCUGUUAUUCCCAUUUCAGCUGUGGUAGCUCUGGG
rnacentral:lncRNA from 1 species